rnacentral:lncRNA from 10 species
UCUUUAACAUAAUGCUUAUUUACUGAAAUGUGUUUUACGGCUUCAUCAGCAACUGAAGUGCUGGAUAUGUGGACUCUGCAGAUUAGAUAACCUUCCUAAGCACCUGGAUGUUGAGAUGCCAGAUCAACCACUACCCAUGGGUCAGGAUAUAGAAGACUUAGAUCACUAUGAGAUGAAAGAAGAGCCUAUGAGUGGGAAACAGUUGGAGGAUGAAGGAACUGAAAAAGAAAAUUGGGCAAUAUUAGAGAAAAUUAGGAAGACUGAAAGAUUAUAAAUAUCAUUUCUUAAAACUGGACAGAAAUGG